AGAACCACCUAGAGACAGAACAGAUGCCACAGAUCAGGUUGGCUGACUCCCAGUGAUAUUCCAGGAACCCAGGAACUAACUGGUGUAGAGGAAGGGGUGAAAUUCCAGGAAGAAGAUGACCUGAGAAGUUGGCAUGAUGCUGUAGGUUUAUAUCUGAGAUACUUUUGGAGGAAAACACUGGACUAUGUAAUUAUUCCCACAAAUCAUAUAGCACAGAUCUAAAUCCCUUCCAGUUGCUUUUAUGAAACAGAAGCAUUUAAUGGGAAGACCUACUGAGCUGCUUUGGAAGAGAAAGGCCAGAACUACAUUAAAUCAUGCAGAAUGAGACAGGUGGGUCCUGUACUGCUCAAGUCAUCAAUAUGGCCAUCGGUCCCAGGAGACUCAGAGGGUCCUGGCACUGAGAAGUCUCCAAAUACCCCCAGAUACUGAUAUGGAUGGCCAGUGUGUACACAGUUGCUCAGUCAUGUCCGACGCUUUGUGAUCUCAUGGACUGUAGCCUGCCAAGCUCCUCUGUCCAUGGAAUUUUCUGAGCAAGAAUACUAGACUGGGUUGCCAUUUCCUACUUCAGGGGAUC